rnacentral:lncRNA from 1 species
GCAACUCUAAUUCAUCUUCUAAUUCAUCCAAAUCGAUACGCACAUCAUUUCCAGCUUCAUUUUCACUAGAAUGACUGGAUUCUUCACUUAAACAAAGUACAUAAUCGCUGGAUUCUUGGGAAGACAUGAUCGAUGGAGUAGGAUAAUAUUUCAGAUCGUAGGAAGUGAAGAAAAUGUCAAACAAAUGUGGAGGAAAAGAAGAAGAAAAAAUUCUGAUGGUGGAGAAUCAAAGAAAUAUGAAGGAGAAGAAGAAGGAAAAAAAUUCUAAUGGUGGAGAGUGGAGGAGAUGUGGAGGAGAAGAACUGAAAAAGAAUUAUAAGGACAAAGGAGGCAACGGCUAGGGUUUCAAAGAAUAAGAUUUAAACUUAUAAGGAGUAAGAUUUAAACUUAUUAAAAU